CCCUACCAUUGGUUCCAAACUAUACCCUUCAGUCACUUUUACUAAAUCCCUCAAUUCUUUGACUUUGGUUACUCUUUCUUAUCCUCCAUUCACUCCAUGGACCAUUAAUCACUACAUUCAUUCAAUAUCUACUACCUCCAUUCACUCUGUGUGAUAUAAUUUAUCUUUGAGUCAAAUACAAUAUCUCUUUGAACUUCAUCUUGUGUCUGCUUGUGAACCAAGAAAUGUUUGCUUU
rnacentral:lncRNA from 1 species